rnacentral:RNase_P_RNA from 1 species
GGUAUCGAGUAAUUGCGCACCGGUUAUCCGGUGUGAGGAAGGUCCAUGCUCGCACACUCUGCGAUGAGUGUAGUGUUUGUGCUGGGAUAAACGAUAAACCCAGGCGUGCUUUGCACGACGGCGGUCGAACGGGCUAAGGCUUUGCUAUGUCCUAUUAGGCCUGAAGGUGCCAUAGAAACGUAUUUCCAAGUGAAAGCUUGGAACUUGAGACGAGGUAAACCCCACAAGCGGGCAACCCAAACUUUGGUAGGGGCGGCUGACCUAGUGAAUUGAAACGAUGGUCGGUAUGGCAGCAAUGCUUAGAUAGAUGAUUACUGAAGGUUAGUGUUUCCCCAUUGCUAACUGGAACAAAACAUGGCCUACAGAU